AAAAUAUAUCAGUCAUAUGCCCUGUUGCAAGACUGGAAAGCCAGGGCUAUUCAAGCAGGGCUGUCCUUGAAAUGACCAAACUACUAGGGGCAUUUUUUGGCUUCUGGAUCCUUUCAGGUGACAGGGGGCAUUGUAACUUGGGUGCAUACGUCCACUCUUUCUAAGCAUCUUUCACAAGUUCUUGAUGGACUUUAUGAUAAUUGCAGAAACUUUUUUUUUUUCUCACAUCACCCAGAGGUUGGCGUGAUGUUAAGAGGGACUUUUUUCUUUUAGGUGGCAUACCCAAUGUCCUUGGGGCCAUUGACUGCACUCAUAUUGCCCUAAGAACUCCUGUGCGCAGGGAGAUAAUAUUUAGAUAUCGGAAACACUUCCACUCCUUAAAUGUGCAGAUCAUAUGUGAUGCAAACAUGCGCAUAUUAAAUGUCGUGGCAGGGUUCCCAGGAAGUAGCCAUGAUGCCUACAUCCUCAGGACUUCUGGUGUGUAGAGAUUGUUUGAGACAAAUCAAAUGCCUGAAGGACAUCUCCUCGCUGAUUCUGCAUAUCCUCUUAAAAAAUGGAUUUGGACACCAUUGAAAGAGAACCAGGUUGUUGGGCCUGCUGAAUUAAGAUAUAAUGAAGCACAUAUCCGAACACGUGCUAUAAUAGAAUGACUGGUGUUCUUAAAAUGUGCUUUCGCUGCCUGGACAGAUCAGGGGGGGAUCUCCAAUUCAGUCUGGAAAAAGCUAUAAAAAUCAUAGUGGCAUGUUGCUGUCUACACAACAUGGCACAGGACUUACUUCCAACACCACAGCCCCCAGAUUGAAGAUUCUCAGAAAUGGAAUACCAUUCACCUCCCUCUCUCCUCAUCCCCAUAUUUACCACAUUGUCCCUAAAUAAAUGUGUACUUUACUCAAA